UCUAAUAUGGCAGAAUAGUGCAAUGAAUUUAAGCUUCAUAUAUAAAGAUUAUAACUUUUUUUAGAA
rnacentral:tRNA from 1 species